GCCAUUGUUGAAUAGUUCAUGUCUGCUGAAUGGCAUUUAUGUUUUUAUGGUUUUUACUUUAUACAGGUAUCUAAAAAGUCAUCGAGAACUGAUAAGGAAGGAGGAGAAAGAGAGAACUCGAAAGAGAUACCGAUCAGCGAUCAUACCAAAUGCAAAGAUCUUGAGGCCAUUUUCCAAGACAGCGUCGUGGAGGAAGCUGCUACUCCCAUGGAACUUAUACUACCACCAUGGAAGGAUUUCUGUCCAAAUUGCUUCAACGAAGUGUAGAUCAGUGUUAAAACUUUCUCGUGGCAAAGGUGAACAAAACAGCAAGUGCCGAGUUCUAUUUUGUGUAAGAUUCCGUCGGAUUCCGUGUUCAAGUUUCUUUGUUUUUAAGGACCAAAAUCAACCCCAAAAGAAUUCCCAAAUUUUGACGGAAGUUGCUGAAUACAUCCGAUUAGUCACAACUUCAACGACUAAUCUUCAGCUUUACAUCCAAAAUUUUUGGAUGUGUUAUUGGUGAGCAUACAUACCUCCCAUAGCCCAUAGCAUACAUACCUCUCUCGUUGGUAAGGAAUGAAUUAAUGAUGCCUGUCACUACGUAUCUAAAAUAAUAUUAACAUUUUCAUUGGGCCAAUAAUCAUCUGAUGAUGUUGGCUGACGUCCAUUUUGCCGAUAUGUCAUCUCUUGCCGUACGUCUCGUCCCAUGCCGAAGCACUUUGCUUCAAAAGUAACUAUUGAUUAAGUUGUAUUACUAGAAAACUACAGAUGUAAUUAACCAAAGAGUAGAAGUUGACAUUGGACAUUCCCUUUCUUUGAAUUAUUAUUUUUGUUAUUAUUAUUAUUAUUAUUUUUAGACAACUGUAGUCAGCACCAGUAGCAUGCAGUUUGUUGUUUCGAAAUAUUCAAGGUAUUGAAUUCUCGCCAAAACCAAUCCCUGCUAUAUAUUUUGUCUUGUACAAAAAGAAUGCUGCAACUCAAGAGGUGAAUCCUGUUGUUGCCGUUGUUCUAUUGCUAUGAACUUCAUCUUGCGGUGGAAACUGAGGGGAUAAUGCUGAAACUCAAGACCCAUAAUUAUGUAGUAUAGAUUAUAAAUUUAAAGUGCAUUUCUGGGCUCCCUUCUUUUCUGUGGCCCCUUUUCCUUAACUAACAACUAAUAACCAACGCCCGCCGGUAGUCACUCACCCGCUGUGAGGGGAGGGCUUGGGUGGCCUCUCCUAAAGACUUAGAACCUUUUUUCACGCUAUUUGGACUUCUUUGUGGGUGACGCAUCAACGCCCGUUUGGAGGUCGAAUUUCCGUUUCGACUCCAUCAUAACCGAUCCUCCUUAUGGAAUUCGUGAAUCAACCUAUAAAGUGGGUAGCAAGAAAAUCGCCCCUAUUCCGGAUGAGAUGCUGUCGACACAUUUUCCUUCUAAAACUCAGUACGGUUUAGGCGACAUCUAUAAAGAUCUUCUUAAUUUUGCCGCCAGUAGUCUCAAACUGCAUGGCCGACUGGUUUUUUGGAUUCCAAUCAUACGAAUGGAGUAUGAUCCAGACCUCCUACCUGAACAUCCUUGUUUGGAAACUAUAGCCAACAGUGAGCAGAUCCUAAAUUUGCAUUCCAGCCGUCGAUUAAUAACUAUGCAAAAGAUUAUGGAACCAAAGGAGGCUGAAGAUUCAGCAAUAAUCCACAACCUGCAGUACACAUUUCGACACAAGUUCUUCAAUACCAGCGAAAUCAAAGGACAUGGAAAGGAAGACGAAAGUGCGCGAAAUCUUACGAAAAGAAGCAAACGGGGAAACGGAAUAGCAAAAUUGCCAUGUGAUGAGUAACCUAACAGUUUUUGAAUAUGCAAUACAAUACACAAGUGGUCUAACAUCGCCGACUUUGAUAGGCGAAAUGAUACCGCAGGAAAUGUUUUCGGCUUGAAAUCGUGGAGAACUAAGUUCUAAAAGGUUGGAAACGAAAACUGAAAGAGAUGUAACUAGAAAUGACAAGAGGCUACUGUUGAAACCUGUCAGUAAUCAACGAGAGAAAGAAUUGUAUGUUUAGUGUAACAGUUACAGUAUAUCUUUUUUAUCGGAAAAAUUUGAAAACAAGCUUGAUAACUUAAAAGACGGAGGGCUGUUCAACGUAAAAAAAAAUUUCGUAGAAUGAAUAUGAAAUAUAUGCUCACACUAUGAUCCAUCACCUCGGGCAAUGCUACCGGCAUCGAAGACCAAAUGAACUUUGUCACAGUGGAGGCAGCACUCACAGAAGAAAGAAUUUUUCUGUAUCUGUCGCUAACCGUACGAUUAUUCCGAGUUGCAUGCAUGUUCACUGUCUCGGCGUUCUGUAUGAGUCGAUCGAAAGUACACGUUAUUUACACAUGUCCCAUUUGUGAACGUAUACGCGUAUACGUUAAUUACUUUGUUUCAGGAAUCCCCCACCAGGUGUCACUGCAGUUUAAUAACAACAAUGGCUGCCAUUGCCCACAUUGAUUAGUGACUGGUAGUGCUUAGUGGUCUGUCUUUCACGUUUCAAUGCAGUCUUAGGUGAACGUUUUUAAAUAUUUGUUUGGCGUUCGUUGCCUUGUAGAUUCUCUGAAAGUCGUGCUGGUAUUUUAGCAUAGUUGGUCCAGUUAAAGCGUGGUUAAAUCGUUGAAACAACUGAACCUGAAGAAAAGAAGAAUGCAAGUCAAGUCAUCUUGCGUCUUUUGACAUGUUUGUGGAUCAAGAAAGGAGGAAACCUGAAAGUUGUGGAGCCUAUCGUCACUAUUUUGCCCAAAAACAUUGUAUUCUACUGAUUGUGCCAUCGAAAUUAUACUGGAUUCAUCAUAGUUAUCUUCUGUUUGUAUUGGACUUACUAGAACACCAACCCCAGUGUGGACCAAUCUCUCAUUCCAUCUUCUAGAGUACCUUAUUGGAUCAUUGGAUCAGUGGUUUCAUGUGUUUCUAAAUUGACAUUACAGACUUGAUGUGAAGUCAUGUCCUUUCAAGAAAAAGGGCAAGGGCUUAGUCAACAAGAUUCAUUGUUUUCUAACUCGUCUCGUUCCGUUGAAUCUCCCCUUUACUUCCUUACACAGGCCCUCUUGUUUGGAGGGUAAUUCCUUCGUGAACUUCAUCCAUUGCUGAAAACCAACGAGAUCAUGCUGUAAUUCAAGACCGAUAAUUUGUCUAGUUAGCUAAAUUACAAGUGCAUAUCUGGG